rnacentral:rRNA from 1 species
CAGUAGCCGCGGGAAUACGGAGGGUGCAAGCGUUAAUCGGAAUUACUGGGCGUAAAGCGCACGCAGGCGGUCUGUCAAGUCGGAUGUGAAAUCCCCGGGCUCAACCUGGGAACUGCAUCCGAAACUGGCAGGCUAGAGUCUUGUAGAGGGGGGUAGAAUUCCAGGUGUAGCGGUGAAAUGCGUAGAGAUCUGGAGGAAUACCGAUGGCGAAGGCAGCCAUCUGGCCUAAUACUGACGCUGAGGUACGAAAGCAUGGGGAGCAAACAGGAUUAGAUACCCGGGUAGUCCCUGUCUCUUAUAC